UGUUCUGCUCUGUGUGAUGGUGGAAGCGUCUCUUUGGCACUGUGGAAACCACAGCUUCUAUGCUGGGCCAAGGAAAGCUUUGUCUCCUCUCUGUGUGCCAUAUUGGAGCUUUCCCUUUGCUCAUUCCAAAAGAAGAUUUUCCCACUCACACAAGGUGUGUCUGAAGGAAUCUCAAAGAGAGGAGCUGAUGCACAUGAAGCUGUACCUGACUUAAUUAAAGCAACCAGGUGGACAAACCUCAGCUCAGAGGAGGGACGAUGUUUUCCUUGGCCCCAUUGAAACCACGUGUUUGUUACCACUGACAGAUUUAGCUGUGACCUGUUGUGCCCAUGGCACCGUGGUUUGCUGGAAGAAAACCUUUAAGUGCCACAGGAGAAGGGCUG